GACGAACGCUGGCGGCGUGCUUAACACAUGCAAGUCGAACGGAAAGGCCCUGCUUUUGUGGGGUGCUCGAGUGGCGCGCGGGUGAGUAACACGUGAGUAACCUGCCCUUGACUUUGGGAUAACUUCAGGAAACUGGGGCUAAUACCGGAUAGGAGCUCCUGCUGCAUGGUGGGGGUUGGAAAGUUUCGGCGGUUGGGGAUGGACUCGCGGCUUAUCAGCUUGUUGGUGGGGUAGUGGCUUACCAAGGCUUUGACGGGUAGCCGGCCUGAGAGGGUGACCGGCCACAUUGGGACUGAGAUACGGCCCAGACUCCUACGGGAGGCAGCAGUGGGGAAUAUUGCACAAUGGGCGGAAGCCUGAUGCAGCAACGCCGCGUGCGGGAUGACGGCCUUCGGGUUGUAAACCGCUUUCGCCUGUGACGAAGCGUGAGUGACGGUAAUGGGUAAAGAAGCACCGGCUAACUACGUG
rnacentral:rRNA from 1 species